GACGAACGCUGGCGGCGUGCUUAACACAUGCAAGUCGAGCGGUAAGGCCCUUUCGGGGGUACACGAGCGGCGAACGGGUGAGUAACACGUGGGUGACCUGCCCUCAGCUCUGGGGUAAGCCUGGGAAACCGGGUCUAAUACUGGAUAUGACUCCAUGACGCAUGUUGUGGGGUGGAAAGCCUUGUGCGGCUGAGGAUGGGCCCGCGGCCUAUCAGCUUGUUGGUGGGGUGAUGGCCUACCAAGGCGACGACGGGUAGCCGGCCUGAGAGGGCGACCGGCCACACUGGGACUGAGACACGGCCCAGACUCCUACGGGAGGCAGCAGUGGGGAAUCUUGCGCAAUGGGCGAAAGCCUGACGCAGCGACGCCGCGUGA
rnacentral:rRNA from 1 species